rnacentral:miRNA from 1 species
GCCAUGGUCUGAUCUGGUUCUUUGUCCUUCCCUUUGUGCCUCAGAUGUGUUUAUUUUAUUUAUUUAUUUAUAUAUAUAUAUAUAUAUAUAUAUAUAUAUAAAUAAAUAAAUAAAAUAAACACAUCUGAGGCACAAAGGGAAGGACAAAGAACCAGAUCAGACCAUGGC